AGAAGUCAAGUUGAAGCCAUGUUCUUCCAAUAGUCAUUUGCCAACUGAUUGAAUUUUAAACGAAAAAGAAGUAUUCUCGGCGCCGCAACUCUAUUUACACCGUCCAUCACAAUUUUCCAGCUUUCACAUUCGGUUACCUACACCAAUCAAUAUUCUCUGUCGCCAGCUGUUCUCUACCCCACCCACCACCCCCUCCCCCUUAUAUAUACCACACUCGCACAUUUCCCCAUUCAUCUCCACCACCAAAAACCCUAAUCGCCUCUCCGUUUCUUCAUCAGAUUCUCGGUUCUCUUCUUCUACAGCAACAAUGGAACAAGUUAGCAUUGUGAAGGCAUUUCUUAUUGCAUUUUUCGGUGUGGCUUUCUCAGCCGUCGCUUCCGCUCAGGAAAUGGCUCCAGCACCGUCACCUGAUGCCGGAGCGGCGUUCUCUCUGCCGACCUCCAGUGCUCUGGUCGGAGCUUCUCUCGUUCUCUCCGUUGCUGCCCUGUUGAGGCACUGAGUGUGUUUGGCUGUGUUUUUUUUUGAGAUAUUGAUAUUUAUUAUAUAUAUUUAGGAGUUUAGAAGAGGUUUGAUUUGAUGUAUUUGUGUUGAGAUUAUUCUUUUAUCAGUAUAUAUAUAUAUAUAUAUAUAUGUGUGGCUAUUUUGAUAAGAAUAAAGUUUUUAUAUGUUCGUUGUGUUGAGAUUAUUCUUUUAUCAGUAUAUAUAUAUAUAUAUAUAUAUGUGUGGCUAUUUUGAUGAGAAUAAAGUUUUUAUAUGUUCGAUAUUCCUUUACUUUUGUCUCUUAGUUUUAAUUCUUCUGGUUCUUUUUAAAAUAGACAAUAUCCACGUUGAUAAAAUAUACAUAUAGAGUACCAUUUCAAAUAUUCACUUUAUGUUAUAAAUAAAAUCCUAUUUAAGGUGAAUAUCUAAUUUAGAGAGAUUCUAGAGUUUUACUUUGAGGCUAAGUCUUUUCUAUGCCUAUAAAUAGAGG
rnacentral:lncRNA from 1 species